rnacentral:lncRNA from 1 species
ACCCAUACCUUUGCGAUUAUUGCGUCGUCGUCGGCGAUCAUGAGCAUCUGGGUCAUCUUGUUCAGUAUCAGCAUCCCAAUUGUCCUCGACACGCUCAUCCUUGUUGUUAUCUCCAUCAUGUCCAUUAGUGGUUUUGGCGUGCAUCUCAUCAAAGCGCCUCAAAAUAGCAGCAAGGCUUUUGUCAAUAUGAGCGACUGACGUCUCCAGCCCUGUAAGCUUGGUGUUGGUGGCAAGCUG